rnacentral:rRNA from 1 species
AGAGUUUGAUCAUGGCUCAGGAUGAACGCUAGCGGCAGGCCUAAUACAUGCAAGUCGAACGGAUAUAGAGACUUCGGUUUCUAUAUUAGUGGCGCACGGGUGCGUAACGCGUAUGCAACCUACCUUUUACUGGGGGAUAGCCCGGAGAAAUCCGGAUUAAUACCGCAUAACAUCACAUGAGGGCAUCCGAGAGUGAUUAAAGAUUUAUUGGUAAAAGAUGGGCAUGCGUGCCAUUAGCUAGUUGGUGGUGUAACGGACCACCAAGGCGACGAUGGCUAGGGGUUCUGAGAGGAUGAUCCCCCACACUGGUACUGAGAUACGGACCAGACUCCUACGGGAGGCAGCAGUAGGGAAUAUUGGGCAAUGGACGCAAGUCUGACCCAGCCAUGCCGCGUGCAGGAUGAAGGCCUUCUGGGUUGUAAACUGCUUUUAUCUAGGAAGAAAAAACCCUUGCGAGGGGAACUGACGGUACUAGGUGAAUAAGCACCGGCUAACUCCGUGCCAGCAGCCGCGGUAAUACGGAGGGUGCAAGCGUUGUCCGGAUUUAUUGGGUUUAAAGGGUGCGUAGGCGGCCCGUUAAGUCCGUGGUGAAAGCCAACAGCUCAACUGUUGAACUGCCAUGGAUACUGACGGGCUUGAGUACAGACGAGGUAGGCGGAAUGGAUGGUGUAGCGGUGAAAUGCAUAGAUACCAUCCAGAACACCGAUUGCGUAGGCAGCUUACUAGGCUGUAACUGACGCUGAGGCACGAAAGCGUGGGGAGCGAACAGGAUUAGAUACCCUAGUAGUCC